AACGAACGCUGGCGGCAUGCCUAACACAUGCAAGUCGAACGAGACCUUCGGGUCUAGUGGCGCACGGGUGCGUAACGCGUGGGAACCUGCCCUUAGGUUCGGAAUAACUCCCCGAAAGGGGUGCUAAUACCGGAUAAAUGUCUUCGGACCAAAGAUUUAUCGCCUUUGGAUGGGCCCGCGUUGGAUUAGCUAGUUGGUAGGGUAAAAGCCUACCAAGGCGACGAUCCAUAGCUGGUCUGAGAGGAUGAUCAGCCACACUGGGACUGAGACACGGCCCAGACUCCUACGGGAGGCAGCAGUGGGGAAUAUUGGACAAUGGGCGAAAGCCUGAACCAGCAAUGCCGCGUGAGUGAUGAAGGCCUUAGGGUUGUAAAGCUCUUUUACCCGGGAUGAUAAUGACAGUACCGGGAGAAUAAGCUCCGGCUAACUCCGUG
rnacentral:rRNA from 1 species